CAAAAACCCAAAUGUUAAAAAUUUCAAGAAUGACUUAUUUUUAUAUGGUGUGACAUUAAGGUAACUGAGUUAGCGAACUUGGUUUUAAAUACAAGUUAGUAUGUGAAACGAAAUAAAUGACAAGUUUUAAAAGUUUGAGGGGUUAAAAGGAAAAUGUGUUAAAUAAAACACUUUACAAAAAAAAAUGUCAGUAUCUUGGGGGUUCUAUGCGUGCGAUCGAGAGCAGGGCCAAGGGAAGAGCCAAAAACCCUAACAACCAAAAAUCAUCAAAUUGAUAAGGAGAUCAAGGGAAAAAUCGAAUGCAUGGGUCUGGAUACUCUUUAAUCUAAGUGUAUUGAUCAUAAGGAGUCAUGUCAUCAAGAGAACAAACAAGGAUGUGCAAUGGGUCGGAGGUGAACACGGAAGCUAUGUGCAAAUUCGGACGCAUGAGGUAAGUAAACUCCCGAACUUUAUCUUUAAUAGCAAUGGAAUUAAUUGUAUGAUAAUCAUUAAAGGUUAUGUUGAAAUUUGUUAUCGAAGACGAUAUCGAAUGAGUAGCAUUAAGGAAGUGAAUUCCAUAAUCACUUCCCAGUUUGUUUGAGUAAUAUAAUGUUUUUAAUUAUUAAGUCAUUUGAAGUUGAGGUCAAAUCAAUGGGUUAUUUUGAUAAAUGCAAGAACGGGUUGAAUCAUUCGAAGAUGAAUAAUAAGCCGAACGCGUAUAAAUUAAGAAAUUCCUUAACUCGGAUGUAGGAUUUCAAGUUCACAUGAUAGAAUGUUAAUUUACACUCACGUAGGAAGAAACGGGAGGUUAAUCGGGUAAACGGUUUGAAAGUUAUGCAAGUUUUAGCGUAAACGGACGAAACAAAGAUGCAGGUGCCGUAAAUUACGCCCCAGGCCGGAAUUUACGGCCUCCCCUGCAUCAGAAUCAUGUUUGAGGUCGUAAUCAGUAGGCAGGUCGUACUUUAGGCUGUAUUUUAGGCCGUAUCUUACUGGGCAGGCCGUAAUUUAUGUUCCCCGGAGGUUUGGGCGGUUUUCUUUUAUUAGAUUGUGACCAAAUGUGCUAAACAUGCGAAUGGGUGGGAUUUGUUUAUAAGUAGGCUAUUAUCGGAUGGUCAUAUGCAUGACUAGGAUGGUAUGUAGGUAUGAAUAAUUGGUGUCAUGGUGAGUUUAAAUUGUAUAAACUAGUACGCAUGAUAUGUAUGUUCAUAGUUAUGCGAAAGGCGUACAUGUGUGAUAAUUAAAUAGAUGUAUAUAAACGGCUGGCAUCCUUUUUACGAAGAUGUAGUACUUGAACAUGUUGAGAUUACGGGAUUGCUAACCAAGUUAUUAUUAAGCAUGUUUGAAAGUGCAGGUUUAUGUAUGUCGGACUUUCGAAGUAUUGAUAUAGAAAUGAUACGAUUGAAUGUUGGAAGGAUAAUUGGGUGGAAGUAACUUAUGCGGUUAGAAUUUUAGUUUAUACAAUAUUUUAUGCUUGGUCGUCAUCAUCUACUAACGGGUAAAUCCUCAAUUUAGGCGACUUGGAGAAUCGGAGCGAGCGCGUGUUCAUGUUAUGUCAUACCAAACGCUUCCGCUAGUUUGUCCAAAUGUUUUUGGUCCAAAAUUUGUUGUAAUGGUUUUUAGUAGUAUUUUGUUGAACGAAUCAUAGAAUUGUAUCUAGUUUGAUUAUGAUUAAAACAGGGGUAUGCCCGUUUUACGGACGGGUCAUGCCCAAAUUUUGUUAAAAUUAAUGCAUAUGUUAUUGAUAUCA